UACCGUGGUUACGGGGCUGCAGCGGCGCGCGGGCGCUCACCUGCAGGCGCGCGGAGCACGGCAGCCAUGAUAACUGUUUACACCACGCUGGGGACCACAACACGUGCAUGAAGGAUCUCAGCGCUGACCUUCCCCCUCCUCAUCUUCCUCAUCUCCUCCAGCGUGGUGCAGUAAUUCACGGCAGCGUACUCAAUCACAGACAGGAAGACAAACAGGAAGCUGGUCCACAGGAGUCCCACCCAGGCGUUACCUGAGGCAUGGACGAGGACACUCCAGUGAUGAUGGUGGACAUGGUGAGGACAGUGGUGAUGCCUGC